AAGUCGUAACAAGGUUUCCGUAGGUGAACCUGCGGAAGGAUCAUUAACACGUAUCCAACGUUAAAACCCCCCGUGAACUUUCAGCGCAGCUCUUACUGCCCGCCGGUCCAGCAAUCUCUGGUAAAUCACGUCGAACGGUUUGAUUCAGAGACUUCUGCAUGGUGAGAAGUUACAGCGGUAAUUGAGCGCGAUCAAGUGGUUUGGUUUCCCCUCAAAUUCACUUCAAUGAAUGAAAGUGUCAUUGAAGUGUGAUGGGGAGAACGCUUAACGAACGCUGUAGGCCCACACGGGCCGGCGUCCAGACCGCCGGGCGCAAGCCCCCCUGAUCACCACCAGUCAGCGUAGGCCCUUCUGUCGUGGUUGGGCGUUAAAACGAACAACUGUUAACAAUGGAUAUCUUGGUUCUC
rnacentral:misc_RNA from 1 species